UACGUAGGGUGCAAGCGUUGUCCGGAAUUACUGGGCGUAAAGAGCUCGUAGGCGGUCUGUCGCGUCUGCUGUGAAGACCUGGGGCUUAACCCCGGGCCUGCAGUGGGUACGGGCAAACUAGAGUGCGGUAGGGGAGACUGGAAUUCCUGGUGUAGCGGUGAAAUGCGCAGAUAUCAGGAGGAACACCGGUGGCGAAGGCGGGUCUCUGGGCCGUAACUGACGCUGAGGAACGAAAGCGUGGGGAGCAAACAGG
rnacentral:rRNA from 1 species